ACCUCUUGGAAAGAGGGCUGAUUCCAGAUCUGAGACAGGAAGUUUAUUAAAUAAUUCUGGAAUACAGUGUUAUGCCAGGUAUCAAGGAUGCUAUGAAAGAGUACUAUGGUUCUGUCCAUAGAGGAUCCAACUGGCCAAAGAUGGGAUAAUUUGAGCUUCAGUGGAAUGAUGAAUGAAAAGAAUUCAAUGGAAACAUAUCAAGUAUAUUUAAAUUUUUACAGGCCAAGCAAACUCAACUGGGAGAGUGGAGGAUGAUAAUUGGGGCAGAGAAAGAAGAAGGCCUUUAUCAAGACCUGUGGACUUCAGAUCUUCUUGUUUCCUGGCACUGUGUGCUUUGUAGUCCAGACCGUUGUUUCCAACUCACCAACCAAACUGGUGGGGCCCCACAUCCUUAAAAUUCAAGUUCUAAGACAUGAGACUCAGCCAGUUUGUGAUGCUUUGUGUCAGGAUUACAUACUUGGUCUCCAAAGCCUGGAAGAGAUUGGCUCACUUGUCUGGUCAGAUGGAAGAAGCCCACUGUGAACUGAAGCCAGGUGGGUAGUGGUGGUACAUGAAGCACUGGUAGUGAGUCUGUCUUCA